AGGAUCAUCUGCUUCCUUCCAGAUGGCAGGUGUGAUAAUGGAGUGGUGGUCAUAUGAUGGAGUGUCUUCAUUCUCAGCCACCCACAGCAAUUAAGUGGUCCCAAGCACAGAAACUGGAAAAGAAAAUAAAGAUGGGCCAACAGGAAGCAGCGGAAGCAAAAACAAAAUGGCAGAGGAGACAGGAUUUUUCUCUAGAAAUGGCUGGGCAGCUCAGAACUCCCUUUUGAGGGUGGGGUCAACAGGCUUUAUGGGUGAUUUCACUUGGUUUAAAAAUGUACUGCACUGGUCAGAAAUGAGAGCAUUCUGGUUAAUAAAACAUGUUUGUAUAAAGACAAUGAAUCACGCAUACAUUAUUAAACAUA